GAAAAUAAAUAUUACUUGUUAAAAGAAACAUUUUAAUCAGAUCAAUUGUAUUAAUAUAAAAUAAUAUAAUUGACACAUUUUGUUGAGCAGAUGAUAUAGACCUGUGGUAGAGACAGGUAUGGAGACAGGUCAUCAGUCUGUUAUAUAGAGCUAUGGAGACAGGUCAUCAGUCUGUUAUAUAGCGCUAUGGAGACAGGUCAUCAGUCUGUUAUAUAGAGCUAUGGAGACAGGUCAUCAGUCUGUUAUAUAGAGCUAUGGAGACAGGUCAUCAGUCUGUUAUAUAGCGCUAUGGAGACAGGUCAUCAGUCUGUUAUAUAGAGCUAUGGAGACAGGUCAUCAGCCUGUUAUAUAGAGCUAUGGAGACAGGUCAUCAGUCUGUUAUAUAGAGCUAUGGAGACAGGUCAUUAGUCUGUUAUAAAGAGCUGAGAUGAUGGAUAGGCCAACCUCAUGUUCAGUGUAUUGAUGAUGAUUGGCCAACAGCUUCAGUGGAUUGAUGAUGAUUGGUCAACAGGUUCAGUGGAUUGAUGAUGAUUGGUAAUCAGGUUCAGUGGAUUGAUGCAUGUAUUACUAUUGGAUAACUGACAUGGUUUUUAAAUCAAAUGCUACGGGGUCAAUAAUAAAAUAACCCAUCAGUAUAUCCAGUUCCAAGCAGUAGGCCUUGAUGUAUUUAAUCCACUAAUACUAACCAUGUUCAUUUAACAUAAAAAUAUCUCUACAUUUAGCAUUUUGAUCAUCAACAAGGUUUAUUUGAGCUGUGGUCAGCUGGCAUUAUAAAUCACCAUAGUAACGACUGACGGCAGUGCGUCACAGGCAGGAAUCAGCAAAGAGUCUGGUGUUGAGUUUUCACCCGGAGAGUCGAAGAGGGUGAUGCCUGGUCUACACUAGAUAGAGGGUGAUGCCUGUCUACACUAGAUAGAGGGUGAUGCCUCCUCUACACUAGAUAGAGGGUGAUGCCUGGUCUACACUAGAUAGAGGGUGAUGCCUGGUCUACACUAGAUAGAGGGUGAUGCCUGUCUACACUAGAUAGCGGUAAAUUGUGCUUGUGGGCUGCUGGCAGAAUAUGGCAGCAUGUUCAAUUGUGCGUCAAGAAUUCAGCAAGUUUGAAUGAAGGAUAAAUGGGGAAAAUAGUUGAAUCCAUUCUCCAUUUCAUGAAUUUAUUCACAGGUAAAUAGUUUAAUCCAUUCUCCAUUUCAUUAAUUUAUUCACGGGUAAAUAGUCAUUGAAGAUUUUUUUAAUUAUUAAAACUUCUUUGGGAUCAUUGGGACGCUAGCGUCCCACCUCGACAACAUCCGGUGAAGUUGCAGAGCGCCAAAUUCAAAUUACAGAAAUAGUAAUAAUAAACAUUCAUGAAAGUACAAUUGUUAAUCAUCGGUUAAAAGAUAAACUUCUUGUUAAUCCAGCCGCUUUGUCAGAUUUCAAAAAGGCUUUACGGCAAAAGCAUACCAUGCGAUUAUCUGAGGACAGCGCCCCGCUUACAAAAGCAUACAAACAUUUUCCAACCAAGUAGAGGACUCACACAAGUCAGAAAUAGCAAUAAAAUAAAUCACUUACCUUUGAAGAUCUUCAUCUGGUUGCAAUCACAAGGGUCCCAGCUACACAAUAAAUGGUCAUUUUGUUCGAUAAAGUCCUUCUUUAUAUCCCAAAAACUCUAUAUUGUUGGUGCGUUUUGUUCAGUAAUCCACUGGCUCAACAUGUCAAACGAUGUUUAUAAUUAAUCCUCAGGUUGUCAAUUAUCUAAAUAAUCGAUAAUAUUUCAACCGGACAAUAGCGUAUUCAAUAGAAAGGAUAAACAACGAAGAGCAUGCACACAGUCACGCUUUCAAUGGAAAACUACUCACAUCAAAAAUAAUGGAUUUUCCUCAGGUUUUUGCCUGCCAUAUCAGUUCUGUUAUACUCACAGACAUUAUUGUAACAGUUUUAGAAACUUCAGAGUGUUUUCUAUCCAAAUCUACCAAUUAUAUGCAUAUCCUAGCUUCUGGGCCUGAGUAACAGGCAGUUUACUCUGGACACAUUUGUCAUCCAAACUUCAAAAUACUGCCCCUAGCCCAAAGAAAAAAACUGUGUAUAAAAUCUGAAAAUGUAUUUAAUUGUUUAUUUGCAUAUAAUAGGCAAUUUUUUAAAAAGACAACAUUAUUGACACCUUGACACCGAAUUAAAUGUCUUCCCGCUUAUAUUUUGAUUUUUGGAGGGAGUGUAUUAGACUGUAAAUAGUGAUGUCAUCUUCAUACCUGUAUUUCCAUCAUGAAUUUCAAACUGUGGAAACUCUUGGCUAUUGCGGCGAUCUAUCAACGCAGCGACAGCGCUCAAUGUGGGUUCACCCCGUCCUGAUGACCCACAGCCGGUAUAUAGAGAACCAUCAUCUGGUACAGGAGCUGCGGUUUGUGAUGUUCCACAGCCCGUAUAUAGAGUACCAUCAUCUGGUACAGGAGCUGUGGUUUGUGAAGUUAUGCUUGGUAGCUAUAUUUGCUAGCUAAAAAUAAUUGUUAUUCAUGUCUUGUACACAGUAUCUAACGGGGAGUAUCUGACAGGGGAGUAUUUGACAGGGGAGUAUCUGACAGGGGAGUAUCUGACAGGGGAGUAUCUGAUAGGGGAGAUCACUCUGAGGGCUGCCUGUCACAGGUCCAUGAGGAAGAGUGAAAGUUAACAGGUUAUUUGGUAAAGAUCUGUUGAUGCAGUGUUUGGUAAUUGUGUUCACUGAGACACAAUCUAUUCCUGUAUAGUUAAAUGAACCCCUAGUUAAGAAGACUAGAAACUACUAUGUUAAUUGUUAUUUAUGAGCUGCAUCAUUCUUGUUUCUCACUUCAGUCUUUC
rnacentral:lncRNA from 1 species